AUACAAGAAAAUGAGGAUUUGGUUAUGGAAAUCUCGUGUGCGGAAGCUCGUAGUUGUUUGGGUGGUGACCAUGGCAAUGUCUGGUGGUUUAAGUUACUCCAAGUGUGAAUAUGAGGCAAUUUUCAACUUCGGCGAUUCAAAUUCGGACACUGGUGGGUUUUGGGCAGCAUUUCCGGCGCAGUCUGGUCCUUUUGGCAUGACCUACUUCAAGAGACCAGCUGGUCGGGCUUCCGAUGGCCGUCUAAUUGUUGAUUUCUUAGCUCAAGCUCUGGGAUUCCCAUUUCUGAGCCCAUACCUGCAAUCAAUUGGAUCUGACUACAGACACGGGGCAAAUUACGCUACGCUGGCAUCUACUGUGCUCUUGCCAAAUACUUCCUUAUUUGUUACUGGUAUCAGUCCCUUUUCUCUUGCUAUUCAGCUCAAUCAAAUGAAGGAAUUCAAAGUUAAAGUCGUUGAAUUUCAUGCCACCAAUCAAACAGGAUCAACUAGUCUUCCAUCACCAGACAUUUUUGGUAAAUCCAUCUACACAUUGUACAUUGGUCAGAAUGAUUUCACUUCCAAUUUAGGAGCUAUUGGUAUAAGUGGAGUCAAGCAGUAUCUUCCUCAAGUAGUUGGACAAAUCGUUGGCACUCUCAAAGUGAGUACUCUCACACUAAAAACCAUGAGGAAAUAGUGUAGCCAUGAUAUCCAAUUCAAGAAAAAUUUUGUUUCCACCUUGGGGUUUUUGAGGAAGGAGUUUGGUCUCCAACUUUUGAUUUCCAUCUGUGGAUUAUCCCUAAGUGUUUAGUGUUUAGUUUGCAGUUUGUGUGGUGAAAUUUUCGGCUUCGUGCUGAUUUUAAUCCAUGAAAUUAAUUUCAAGGAGCUAUAUGCGUUAGGAGGGCGUACAUUUCUGGUUCUAAAUCUUGCACCAGUGGGCUGUUAUCCUUCAUUAUUGGUAGGGCUCCCUCACAACAGCUCAGACAUCGACAAGUUCGGCUGCCUCAUCCCUUACAACAGUGCAGUGGUCGACUACAAUAACAUGUUGCAGCAGGCACUCAACGAAUCUAGAAAGGAGCUCCCAAAUGCUUCCCUUGUAUAUGUGGACAUUCACGCAGUUCUGCUAAAGCUGUUCCAACAUCCCACCUCUCAUGGUAUGGUAAAUAUAUAAUUCAAUAAGGGUUUAAUUUCAUUAAAUUUGCCUCCAAUACAUGCGUUUGUUUUUGUUGCAGGGUUCAAGUAUGGUCCUAAAGCAUGUUGUGGACAUGGGGGAGGUACCUACAAUUUUGAUUCUCAAGUUUUCUGUGGAAAUACCAAAGUGAUUAAUGGGAGCAAUGUGACGGCAUCAGCUUGUGAUGACCCCUACAACUAUGUAAGCUGGGAUGGAAUCCAUGCCACAGAAGCAGCAAACAAGUUUAUUACAAUGGCCAUCCUCAAUGGCUCUUAUUCUGAUCCCCCUUUUUCUCUUCAGCAAUGUGUCCUCCACGAUAUUGACAAAUCCAGUAACUAAUCAUCACAAAAAAAUUCAACUGCUGGGAAUGGUAAUAAAUUUAUUUAUGCUGAAUAAUCCUCAAACCUCUGAGUUAGCAAGCUACUGUGGCACGUCCUGUUCUCAGGAAUUAGAAUCAAACAAAGCAUUUUAGCUCGUUAAUCUUCGCUGCACUUGGAUUUUGUUUAUAGCUACUGUCACAAGGACCAAGUUGCCUCCUGCCCCAAAAGGCUAAAAGAUUCUCAAUAAAAAAGUUCAGUGAAAGGAAACUGAUAAGAGAAGAAUUGUGAUUGUUUAGAUUCACCAUCCUCAGAAAUCAAAUUUCUACCACAAUUAUGUGAGCAUAAGUAACAAAUUAUAAACAAUGCUUCUAUGAUCUAUCCAAAAAUCAGAACUUCUGAUAAAUAAUAACAACAGGAUAGAGGGAGAAUUUGAAAAAAAAAGUGUGCAGAGAAACUGAAAUGCACAUCAAGG
rnacentral:misc_RNA from 1 species